CUUUUUGAAGUAAAGAGGAGCAUCUCAUCUGGACCUGAUGUGAGUAGAAAUGUGUAGCAAAGCACAACUGCAUUGACUUGUCUAUCAUGGAUAUCUAACUGCAGUACUGUGAGUAUCCCAACUUUAACAUGAAGAUGAACUGCGAACUGUAAGUCAUUAGUUUCUCAUUACUCUUGGGCACAUUGAUGUAUGUUGGCUUCCUGGUGAGUUAACCCGUUAGCUGAAGGUUGAUCUGAUUAGUAAGGAUCUUUUAUUGGUUCAUGGGUUACUUAGGUGUUUGGUUUAUGUUGGUUUGAAUGGUUUGUUAAAAUGGUUUCAGGUUCAAAGUUAUUGUUGUAAGCUGGAGUAAUGGGUUGGGUUCUGAUGUCUUCAGUCUUCUUUCCAGCUACUCUCCUGAGCUCUGCAUCUUCAUUACAUGAAUGUUGCUGUACUGAGGAGGGUGUGGUCUGAGUGAGCAGAGGUGCAUACUGGGAUACAGAGCUGUCUGAAGUCUACAGGUCUGUAGACACGCCCCCUCAGGGGAAACCGAGUGUUUGAGAAACCGUCGUGACGUCAGUUACAUGGACCGGAAUGUUCUUUAAGAUGGAGACAGGGAUUCAGAAGGAGAAACACCAGGGGGAGAUGAGGGGGCUCCUCAUCUCAACGACUAAAACACAACUUCAGUCUGACACAGAGAACCAUGGAACACUUUCAACAGUCCCCUCCAGGCAUCGUGACUCCUCAGGAACAGUUUCAUUUCAGAGAAGGUCUCAUUUGGGGCCAUUCCAAGAUGGAUCCUGCUCCUCAAGAGCCACCCCUCCACUGGAUGGUCUUCUGAACAGAUGAUCUCCUUCCUGUCCUCAGGCUGACUAAAGCUGCACCGUUUGCAUCUGUGAAGGCCCCUCAAUCACUAAACCACUGGACUACAAACACAUGACUUCAGAGACGUUGAAACAGCGUGAAUGGAGACACCAAGCAUAAUCCAUCACCAAUGUGGGACGCCACUGAAGAAUGUUGUGCAUAAUUUACGUCUCUGGAGAUAUUGGUGGUUCUGUUCUGGGUGCCCUGACAGGAGAGCUGGGGGUGGAUGAUGGAAUGUUAUUUGGCAUGAGGUUUUUACCCUGCAGGAGUGUUUGGUCUUUUAUGGCUCAGUGGUGUGUGUGGGUUUGACAUGAGAUGGAAGAUUUUUGAACAUCGAUAGGGUUCUACUGUGUGUGUGUGUGUCCCACUCACACCCGGAACGGGGUUCUACGUGUGUGUCCUGGGUUCUGCGUCCUGCUUGCUUUGACAUUGAUAAUUUUCUUACGGGGGUCUGUGUGAUUGGCUUGGUGUAUUGGAAUGGUCAGUUAAGUCAUACCUGCUGGACGGCCACACGUUUACUUGAGGCCUCCAGGAGACAUGAAGAGCCCUGAGCGACGCUCGCUCCGGAGCGAUAUCCAACACACUGGGCAGGAAGGAGAGUAUCCAACUCAAGUGUAAAAGGAUGCAAGCGGCGUGUUCAGAUCAGCGACUUCAAACUAGGACUACACCAAUCAGGAUCAAUGGAGGAUGGACACCUA
ensembl:lncRNA